UAAACCCUAGCUUCCAAAUCCGCUGAAAUACAACCCUAACACACUCCUUCAUCUCUCAAUCUUAGUAGUUCGUAGUCUAUAUAAGUAUUUCUCUGAUAUGUUUGGUUUGGUUAAAAGUUCUAUUUUGCAUAAAUGGUUUUAUUUGUCCGGUGAAAUUGCAGUUUGCGUUUCCAUUGAUCAAAUUGUUUUAUGGUUAAAUUGGAGAGCAAGUAAGAAUUGGGCAACUUUGCCGAGGUGAUAUACUUUAUGUUGAUCGCCUCUUUUCCCUGUUGCCUAUAUUGUGAAAGGUCAAGCUUGGAGCUAUGUUGAAUGGUAUUAGCAUUUUUAUUUUUGAUACCAGACACCUCUAGCAUGACUAGAUUUCUUCAUCUUGCUUAAUUAAUCUUUAACAAAUCAUUCUAAAUCAUGUUUGCAUUUUUAGUGAUGAGGUCCUUUCUUUCUUGUACUUUUUGAUCUGAAGAAGUUUGGUUGGGAACAUGAUUCCCUAUAUGACGAGGAUGUUAAUGGCUAUGGAUUUAUAUCCAAUGAUGCUUUCAUUUGUCAUAGUUACACUGAUAGGGCAUCAUGUUUCAUUGUUCCAUUAGGUCCUUUUUUUGUUUUUUCAUUUAUUGAGCAUAAUUUACUCCUUUUGAAUAUACUUUUUCUGUAUUUCAAGGGUGUAUAGCCAUUUGAUGAAUCGACAUCAUUUGGCCAUUUGGGUAAACUUGAUGUUAUAUGUAUCAGCAUUACAUAUGAGCAAAUGCUUGAUCCCUCUAAAUGACAGAACAUUUUGUCAGAGGCUAUGGAAUUUACAUUCCAAGUGAAGCUUUUGUCAUAGUUGCUCUGAUAGAGCAAGUUUGCUUGAUUUGCUUUAGAACAUUUGUUACUCUCUUGCUCAAUCUCUGAACUUGCCUUUUAUCAAUUUUUCCAUGUGCACACGUUUUAAAAGUUUUUGCAGUGUAGCAUUCUGUUUGCUAAUACAACCAUACAAGAGCAUGUAUGCAGCCUUUGUGGUAUUGGUUUAGUGGAUUAGAAGUCUCACUCGAUGGGGUAGGAGAUUGAUACUUUCCAAUAUUGGGGUUUGGGAUGGGCAGUUUGUGCUGUUGAGCGUGGAAGUUAAAUUGGCUGGAUAUACCAAUUUCAUGGGGUCCAAAAUAUAGUCCUACAAAGACAGUCCUACAAAGACAGGUAUUGAAGUGCACAAAGUGAGAACUAUGGGGAUAGAAAUCAAUUGGAAUUGUAUUUUGGUUUUUUCAUUAUUCAUUAAGUGAGCUUUGGUUUGAGAGGAAAAGUUAGCACAAUAGGAUACAGGUGACGAAAGCAUGCUUACGCUCCCGUGACUACAGCUACAGCUCAAUAAAGAAGAGUUAAUUUUAUUUUUGAUUUUAGAUUUAUAGAUACAGUUUAGUCCUUUUUUAUUAGAACAUUUAUUUUUUGUUUGUAUACCAUUAUUGGUUCUUUAUCAAUAAAAUAUUUUAAAUAUCA